rnacentral:misc_RNA from 1 species
UUCUUUUACCUUAUGUGAGCUGUAUCGUGCUGUUCGGGUAUGCACACGGCACUGUGGGUCAAGGAAAAGGACGCACUGAAUCAACGCCAGCACUCCCCGGCUUGGGCCUUUGGGGAAGCAGACUCCAGCAUCGCACGCGCAGAACGCCGACAUAGCGCACACAUCGCCAACAGACGUCCGCACAACUCGGCACCGCAUUAUACCGAUUCGCACGAGAUAUACGUGGACAAAACAGCCACGCUCACCGGCAAGAUGGACGUUCUGCACAUGUUCCGCUCUCGGAGGCCACCAAAGAAGGAGAUAUACGCGAAGCUUCUUGUCCUGUUUGCGUUUGGCGUCUUCUGCGCUGUUGUCGGGUUCAACGUGGCACAUCUCCCGCUCCCGAACGCGAAGCGCGGCGUUUUGGAUGCGAACAUUCCGGCUUCCGACCCCGAUGCAUUCACCGUCACGACCCUUUCCUCGGAAGAUCGCGCCAGGCUUGCGAAGCUCCGCACCCGCAUAGCUGUGCCAUAUCUGAUGCCGUGGGGCGAGGACGAGCGCCCUGCAAUGUUUUUCAUGUGGCACCUUCUCUAUCGCAGCCUCAAGCCGGAUUUGGACGAGUUGGAGGCAAAUGUGCUCAAGACCUCGACCAUCAAUACGACCGCGUCAGUGAUCGGCAGCGCAGCCACGCAUAACCCGCGCAAGGUUGUCAUUGACGUUGUUGAAAGCCACGAAGGAUACAUUACAACGUCGCUGGCACACUUUUUGCCCACCACAUACGUGUUCAGCGUCGUGGCAAGCGCGCCUGUAGAGCAGCAGUAUGGAUGGCGCCCCCAAGAUCAACGCUACCGGCAUGGUCCCAAGGACCCGUACGGCUUCGGGUCGGAAGACCUCGCAGCAAAACGUCAGGCAUACGCAGAGAGGGUGGCAACCAAGGUGGAACGGGUGCUAGCGAACCCCGCCGCUGAGGGGGUUGCUGAAGCCUCGCAGCAGCCGGCCAUGCAGACAGACGUUCGAACGGCGACCGCAGAAAACGUCGGUGUCGGUGGGGACAUCUCUGAGGGAAUCACCUCACAGACGAAGGCCGAAGCAGCCACGCAGGUGUGGCCGCCUCCUCAUGUGUAUCUGUGCGUUCCGAGGUAUAGCCUCAAUUCUAGCUACUACGCUAGCCUAGCAGCACAAGAGCUGCGCGUCAGCUACCAGAUCCUCCUCUUCCCUCAUGUUGCCCUUCGAGGUGCUCGAACGUCAGCGGAGUUCGAUGUGGCAUUGCGUACACUCCUGGCGCAGGCUACCGUCGCCUCUUUCAUUGCGUUGCCGUGGCUCUCCGAGAGCGACAACGUCGGCAAAGGCAACGCCGCCAACGGUGAGCCGGCGCGGCUUCGCAGAUUGUUGCUUGAGCAGGAACUCAUUGACUACGAAAGGUGGUAUGAGGACUACAGGUGGACCCCGUUGCAGGUGCUGCAGCGCGCACUGCGUUCGCCGGAUAUGGAGGCACAGUAUCACAUCUCCAUUCUGCCCCUAGGGUCGAAGCGGUGCUUCGGGGCCCUGUGGCAGCUGUUCCGUGUGGAGCUACAGAAAAAGCACAACCAGCCUGCUGCCAACGUGGCGGUCCUUCCCACGAUUACCGUAGACACUGCAAGUGCCGCGGCGGACGGCGCGCUCGCGGCCAUCGACGGAUCAGGCACUAGCACGCCAGCGGCUUCGCCACUCAACUCGCUCGCCGCGAACAUUUUUGGCUGCGCUGCGAGGCAGGCUCUUCUUGGCUGCGUGGCGCGUGAAGAACAUAGCAGCUGUGAGCGGUUUUCAGAGGUUCACGUACUGUAAGCCGUCAUUCCUUACAGGAUAUUAUACUUCCACUCUUGUUUGCUCGGCUUCUCCAGUGUCUGUGUGAAUCGAGGAAGUGGAGAGAGAGAGUUGGGGCUUUGCGAAUGAAGUGCUUCUCGUCUCGUGAAUGCCACCCUCGGACGCUUGUGUUUCUCUGUUGCCAUGCUUGGCUGGCGUCGCCUUGCGUGAGCAGAGGCGCGGCUGCUUCCGCACACGUCUCUCUCUUUCACCCAUUCCUUACUCGUGGCGAUUUUCUCUUUCAAAUGCUUGUUUCGUCAUAGUCUGCUGCGUGUGUCUUGUUUUGAGGUCUUCUUGCUCGCGCUUGAGGUUGAGUGCGUGAUCAUCCGCAAGUUUGCAUGCUUGCACGGGCUUGUCAGGUUUAUACGUACCGAAGCGGUCGUGCGGACCUCGGCGGGCGAUCAUCAUCG